GCCUUGAUGCCCUCCGAUUCAAAAGCGUCAGUAUGGAGUAGAAUUCUUUAUUUGUUUAGAAUCUUCGAUCAAAAGGACUUGAAAUCACACACUUUCAGGAAGAGUGAACUGUGUGAGAUUCAGCUUAGACUUCCACCUAGUACGGGUGCUCCAAGUCCAUCGUCUUUUUAGUCCACAGAUUUUCCUGUAGAACAGAGGACUUCUUCGGCGGAAUAUGAUGAUCCGAGUUCCAAUGGGCAAGCACCUCCAAGAUAGUGCUAAAUAUUGAACUUGCCAACACAAAUCAAGAAAGACCAGUAACUAUUGAAAGAACCCGUGAAAACUGAUAGCUUAAUUAUGACC
rnacentral:misc_RNA from 1 species